rnacentral:rRNA from 1 species
AUUGAACGCUGGCGGCAGGCCUAACACAUGCAAGUCGAACGGUAACAGGGAUCAGCUUGCUGAUUCGCUGACGAGUGGCGGACGGGUGAGUAAUGUCUGGGAAACUGCCUGAUGGAGGGGGAUAACUACUGGAAACGGUAGCUAAUACCGCAUAACGUCGCAAGACCAAAGAGGGGGACCUUCGGGCCUCUUGCCAUCGGAUGUGCCCAGAUGGGAUUAGCUAGUAGGUGGGGUAACGGCUCACCUAGGCGACGAUCCCUAGCUGGGAUGAGAGGAUGACCAGCCACACUGGAACUGAGACACGGUCCAGACUCCUACGGGAGGCAGCAGUGGGGAAUAUUGCACAAUGGGCGCAAGCCUGAUGCAGCCAUGCCGCGUGUAUGAAGAAGGCCUUCGGGUUAUAAAGUACUUUCAGCGGGGAGGAAGGGAGUAAAGUUAAUACCUUUGCUCAUUGACGUUACCCGCAGAAGAAGCACCGGCUAACUCCGUG